rnacentral:rRNA from 1 species
AGCGAACGCUGGCGGCAGGCCUAACACAUGCAAGUCGAACGAACCUUUCGGGGUUAGUGGCGGACGGGUGAGUAACACGUGGGAACGUGCCUUUAGGUUCGGAAUAACUCAGGGAAACUUGUGCUAAUACCGAAUGUGCCCUUCGGGGGAAAGAUUUAUCGCCUUUAGAGCGGCCCGCGUCUGAUUAGCUAGUUGGUUGAGGUAAUGGCUCACCAAGGCGACGAUCAGUAGCUGUUCUGAGAGGAUGAUCAGCCACAUUGGGACUGAGACACGGACCAAACUCCUACGGGAGGCAGCAGUGGGGAAUCUUGCGCAAUGGGCGAAAGCCUGACGCAGCCAUGCCGGGUGAAUGAUGAAGGUCUUAGGAUUGUAAAAUUCUUUCACCGGGGACGAUAAUGACGGUACCCGGAGAAGAAGCCCCGGCUAACUUCGUG